rnacentral:rRNA from 1 species
GCUAAGGCCCCAAAAUGAUCGCUAAGUGGAAAAGGAGGUGAGAGUGCAGAAACAGCCAGAAGGUUUGCUUAGAAGCAGCCACCCUUUAAAGAGUGCGUAAUAGCUCACUGGUGGAGCGUUCUCGCGCCGAAAAUUUACGGGACUAAGCGGUCUGCCGAAGCUGUGGGAUAGAUGUAUUAAUUUAAAAGAAAUGCAUGUAUCGGUAGGGGAGCGUUCCGCUCUAGGGUGAAGCAAGAGUGUAAACACUUGUGGACGAAGCGGAAGUGAGAAUGUCGGCUUGAGUAACGCAAACAUUGGUGAGAAUCAAAUGCCCCGAAAACCUAAGGCUUCCUUCACUAGGUUCGUCCAUGGAGGGUUAGUCGGGUCCUAAGGCAAGGCCGAAGGGCGUAGUCGAUGGAAAACAGGUUAAUAUUCCUGUACUUCCUCUUGGUAGGCACCGAGGGACGAAGGAGGCACGAGAUGGCUAAAAUUGGAUUUUAGUGGAAGUGUAUAAGGCUAAGAGGACCAGAAGAGAAACUGAGUCUAAGCUGAAUCACCAUACGGCCCCACAACUAGUCGAUCCCCUGUGGAUUUGCUUAGUGGGGCUUAUCUCUCUAUGUCAAACUUCCUAGAAAAGCUCGAACUGCUUUGUUACCAAGAGGAACCCGUACCCCAAACCGACACAGGUAGGUGGGUAGAGAAUACCUAGGGGCGCGAGAUAACUCUCUCUAAGGAACUCGGC